rnacentral:rRNA from 1 species
ACGGGGAGCAGCAGGCGCGAAAACUUUGCAAUGUGCGAAAGCACGACAAGGUUAAUCCGAGUGAUUUCUGCUAAAGAAAUCUUUUGUUAGUCCUAGAAACACUAACGAAUAAGGGGUGGGCAAGUUCUGGUGUCAGCCGCCGCGGUAAAACCAGCACCUCAAGUGGUCAGGAUGAUUAUUGGGCCUAAAGCAUCCGUAGCCGGCUCUGUAAGUCCUCGGUUAAAUCUGUACGCUUAACGUACAGGCUGCCGGGAAUACUGCAUAGCUAGGGAGUGGGAGAGGUAGACGGUACUCGGUAGGAAGGGGUAAAAUCCUUUGAUCUAUUGAUGACCACCUGUGGCGAAGGCGGUCUACCAGAACACGUCCGACGGUGAGGGAUGAAAGCUGGGGGAGCAAACCGGAUUAGAUACCCGGGUAGUCCCAGCUGUAAACUAUGCAAACUCAGUGAUGCAUUGGCUUGUGGCCAAUGCAGUGCUGCAGGGAAGCCGUUAAGUUUGCCGCCUGGGAAGUACGUACGCAAGUAUGAAACUUAAAGGAAUUGGCGGGGGAGCAC